rnacentral:rRNA from 1 species
GCGGCGGACGGGUGAGUAACACGUGGGCAACCUGCCUGUAAGACUGGGAUAACUUCGGGAAACCGGAGCUAAUACCGGAUAACUCUUCGGACCAUAUGGUCUGAAGAUAAAAGAUGGUUUCGGCUAUCACUUACAGAUGGGCCCGCGGCGCAUUAGCUAGUUGGUGAGGUAACGGCUCACCAAGGCGACGAUGCGUAGCCGACCUGAGAGGGUGAUCGGCCACACUGGGACUGAGACACGGCCCAGACUCCUACGGGAGGCAGCAGUAGGGAAUCUUCCGCAAUGGACGAAAGUCUGACGGAGCAACGCCGCGUGAGCGAUGAAGGUUUUCGGAUCGUAAAGCUCUGUUGUUAGGGAAGAACAAGUACCAGAGUAACUGCUGGUACCUUGACGGUACCUAACCAGAAAGCCACGGCUAACUACGUGCCAGCAGCCGCGGUAAUACGUAGGUGGCAAGCGUUGUCCGAAAUUAUUGGGCGUAAAGCGCGCGCAGGUGGUUUCUUAAGUCUGAUGUGAAAGCCCACGGCUCAACCGUGGAGGGUCAUUGGAAACUGGGGAACUUGAGUGCAGAAGAGGAAAGUGGAAUUCCAAGUGUAGCGGUGAAAUGCGUAGAGAUUUGGAGGAACACCAGUGGCGAAGGCGACUUUC